rnacentral:rRNA from 1 species
CGAACGCUGGCGGCACGCUUAACACAUGCAAGUCGAACGGCAACGGGUCCUUCGGGAUGCCGGCGAGUGGCGAACGGGUGAGUAACACGUGGAGACCUACCCUGGGGUGGGGGAUAACAGCUAGAAAUGGCUGCUAAUACCGCAUACGCCUUACGAGGGAAAGAUUUAUUGCCCCAGGAGGGUUCCGCGUCGGAUUAGCUAGUUGGUGGGGUAACGGCCUACCAAGGCGAUGAUCCGUAGCUGGUCUUAGAGGAUGAUCAGCCACACUGGGACUGAGACACGGCCCAGACUCCUACGGGAGGCAGCAGUGGGGAAUAUUGCGCAAUGGAGGCAACUCUGACGCAGCGAUGCCGCGUGGGUGAAUAAGGCCUUAGGGUUGUAAAGCCCUUUCAGUGGGAAAGAUGAUGACGGUACCCACAGAAGAAGCCCCGGCUAACUCCGU